rnacentral:rRNA from 1 species
UACGAAGGGGGCAAGCGUUGUUCGGAAUUACUGGGCGUAAAGGGCGCGUAGGCGGCCGCUCAAGUCAGGUGUGAAAUCCCCGGGCUCAACCUGGGAACUGCACUUGAAACUGUGUGGCUUGAAUCCGUGAGAGGUUGGUGGAAUUCCCAGUGUAGAGGUGAAAUUCGUAGAUAUUGGGAAGAACACCGGUGGCGAAGGCGGCCAACUGGCACGGGAUUGACGCUGAGGCGCGAAAGCGUGGGGAGCAAAC